UGGAAACCGCACCCCAAGUGCAUUCUUGAUCCUUCACCCACCCAUAGUAGGCAUGCUGUCAAAAUAAGCCGAGCACAAGUAGCACCAUACUCGAGUUUGAACUCACCCGAAGGAUAUGAGUGUCAUUUAAACUCGAACUCGAGUUCGAACGAGUCAAGGAACUCCAACUCAAACUUGUCUAGAGGAAGUUGUAGAAAUACUUGACAAGACUCGAAAACAAUGCCAAGCAGGUAUUGUCCAUUUCGUGCAUGUGUGUGUGUAAUAUUUAUCUUUUAAUUAUUUAAUGCAAUACUCGAUAAAAGCUCACCGAGUACCUGAUUCUUAAGUUUGAAAAAGACCUGACAGUGUUUUUGAGUAGCUCUAGUUCAAGUUGAGCUACUCGAUUCAACAUCACCCCUACUCCGUAAUGCGGUGGCCCUUCCUCGCCCCACCUAAGUUUGGUCCCUAGGAUUUCAUUAAUUUUUUAGGGCUUUCAGUAAUUGCCCAAGUAACCAAGUUAUGAUGGCAAUGCAAUUGACAAUUUUAAAAUCAACACUUUUUUUUUUUUUCUUCAAAAAGUGGGAAGGUUUGAACCCAAAACAUUCUACUUAUAAUCCCUCCCAUUUUACCACCAACCCCUCCCCCUUCAUGAAUAAACAGGCUAUUUGAAUCUCAUGAAUCCAAACAGCCUUGUUUAAUUUCUUUGAAACAAUAAAAUUAUUUGAAUCAAGAUUAUUUUGGAUCAAGAUUGAAUUGUACGAAAUGGGUGCAACUUAGCUCUAUUGAGCCUGACUAUGAUCUCACAAAUUUGAUAUUACUAAACUAAGGUUACAAGCCCAUGAGAGAUGAUCAGCUCCCAGUUUGAGUUCGGUUUUAAAAUUUCAACUGUUUGUCAUUUCGGGGUCAUCGUCUGUUUCUCAAGGCUAGGUAAAAGUGUGAAAAUCGGCGAUUCGGACGAGAGACUGAUCAUAAUUGGUUGAAUUUAUUUAUAUCUAUCUAACAAAUGCAUUAAACUGUGUAUAUUCUCAAAAGGGUGUGGGUCCACCUAAUUACCCAAAUUGGCCUGCUUAAAAUUCACUUACUUUUUUGUUUUCUUUUUCUUUUUGAUUGUUAUUUAAUUAGAAAUAUCGAUACUUUAUUACUAUUGGUUUGAUAAGAAAUUCAAAUUUAUCCACUCAACACCUACCAAAAAAUUAAUUUUGAAUGUAUAAUUUAAAGGAAAAAUCAUUCAAAAAAUCAUUCACAUUUCGUCAAAUAAAUUUUUUUGUCCUUCACUUUUAAAACGGUAACUUUACGUCCCUUACAAAAUUAAAUUAGUAAAAUUUGAUCCCAACCUCAGUUUUCUCUUAGUUUUUACUCUAAAUCCAUUACAUGACUCAUAUAUGGUCAUUUUUUUAUUGGCAAAAAAAAUUACUAUAAAUCUUAUUUAUAGUCAAACAAAUAAUCCGAUCUAAGUAUAUUUAUUUUUGCUCAUAGGAAAAUAGAAUCUAGCCUGAAUUAUAUUCCUUUUUCUCCCUAAAAAAAAGUAAGAUCCGAUCAAAUAUAUAAUCAUUAUUGUUGCCACUAAAAUUGUGGGAUUUGACAUUUUUUAUACAUAAAACAUGACUUCAUGUGGGCCACGCUGUGAUUUCAACUAAAAAGCAGUCGAAAACUUAAAUUGGAACUAAAUUUUGGUAGCUUGAAUUUAGAGACGUGAAGUUAACAUUUUACAGGUGAAGGCUGAAAAAUUCAUUUUGCGAAAUGUAAGGGAUAUUUUGAGUGAUUUUUUAAAUUUUAAAUGGACAUAAAUGGGUAACGCAACUCAACCUACUACCCACUAAUUAAAUUGGUCUAAUCGAGUCACUCAUUUAAACCCUUCAAAAUGUAUCACACGCCUAAACAUAUUCAUUAGCGAGUGGAGUUGGAUGGAUCAACCUCCAAGCGUAGGCAAGAUAGGCUGGUUUAUCUUUAGACAAUAUUUUACGAUAACUGAAAAACUAAAUUAAAUUAGGUAAGGAUUGCAUACAUGAUCCGAGCAGGCCGGCCCACAGUUAACAAUGGAUGGUAGCGAAACAAGAAAACAUGGGGAACUCGAUGAUAAUGACAAUGGUCAUGCACAUAGAAUGAGAUGAUUUCCCAACUGGUAUUCUAAUUUUUCAUGCUUAAUAUCAAUAGAUCAUAAGAUUUGUGAUUCAGCGGUAAUUGGAGACCCCUUUUUAUACGGUUUUCUGAUGCUUGGGUUGGCUGCUUUGGGGAAGACUUCUCAUUCAUAUUAUUUUAUUUUAUUUUUUUUUUAAAAAAAAAAAAGAGAGAGAGACUUCUGAUUCAUAAGCAUGGCGUUAAUUGUGGGCUUGACCCUGGUAAGGUUGCAUUCCCAGAUGUAGACUGCACUCUCUCAGUCGUUCUUAGCAUCCCCACUCCACCACUCAAGCGACAGAGACCGCUAUUAGGCAGAUCAUUUUGGCUUUCUUCAGGCAAGGUUCUAGGAUUAACUAAGAAAAUAAAGAGGUUCUAGGAUUAACUGAAAAAAAAAAAAAAAAGAUUUAGAGCAGGAUACACACAGGAUUAAAUUAAACAAGCCGAUAAACAAAUGAGGGAUGGAUCAAAUAAAACGAUGUAUUAUUAUUAUUAUCAGAAGCAAACAAGUGCUUCAACUCUUGCAAAUGUAUGAAAGCUCUUGUAGUACAGUACACUUCAAACAUCUCUCAUAGUCAAACCACAGUUUUAAGCAAGAAAUACACAUGAUUAUACAUACACCUCUCAUGCCACAGUUUUAAGCAAGAAAUGCACAUGCUUAUUACAUCCUCUUAAAUCUGAUCAGGGAAGUUUCCUGAAGGAAGUAAGCUUCUUGAAUUUGAGCCAGGGCUUGACCCAAACAAUGGCCUCGUACAGAUUUGAAGCAGUGCCAUCCAAUGCCUUU
rnacentral:lncRNA from 1 species